rnacentral:misc_RNA from 1 species
UUUCCGUAGGUGAACCUGCGGAAGGAUCAUUACCGAAAGAUCAGAGGCGCUCUUUUUAGAGGCCUCAUCCCACAUCUUUCAAACACCUGUGCACUCGGAGUUGACCUUUCCCUGCGAAAGGUCCUUGCCCAAGACUCCUCCGGUCCCUUUUUCGGGUCGGGAGCGCUUGGGGACUCUGCCCUUUUUUAAACACCUUGAGGAAUUGAGGAUGACAACAUAUUCGAAAAUAAAAACAACUUUCAACAACGGAUCUCUUGGCUCUCGCAUCGAUGAAGAACGCAGC